rfam:Ricinus communis cultivar Hale ctg_1100012320192, whole genome shotgun sequence.
GGGUGCGAUCAUACCAGCACUAAUGCACCGGAUCCCAUCAAAACUCCGAAGUUAAACGUGCUUGGGCGAGAGUAGUACUAAGAUGGGUGACCUCUUGGGAAGUCCUCGUGUUGCACCCC